UAUAUACCCUAAUGCAAGACUGUUUACAAUUACAGAGCUCUGCUGAAAACUGUUUAUCACUUUACCACUGUAUGUUCCUGCAGUCUACCUCUGCUCCUAGUUCUGUUUUGAACUCUGCUAAAUCUGGCUCGGAUCUGCAUGGUGGCAAGGAUCAGCCUGCACUGAGAAGCUCAAUUGAAGCCAUUUCCUGAGGCUGGAGUCACACACAUUCUUCACAUGGGCUCAUGUUCACAUGCAUCUUAAUGCCACUGCUCACUCAGAGGAUAGAGCUCAGCAGCCUUUUGACCUUGGGAUGUUCGUUGCAGGGCAAAACACAUAUAUAAGUGCUCCUGGUCUUUUCCACAGCUCAUGUUAUGAAAGCUUUUCCAGUCCUCUAGACUUUCCUUGUCUCUGAAGUUGUCCCUGAGUUUUUACCAUUUCUGUCACAUCUGUGGGAUGGAGUGAUGAGAACUGAACGCAGCCUUCCAGCAGUCCAAAAACUGGCAUGCCAGAUUUUCCAGGUUAUUCACUUUUGAAGAACUGAGCUUUAUGGGAAGAAGUGUCCUUUGAUGAGAAGCAGAGGCCCAUCAGGUUGGUUCAGGGAGGGAGCUGCCAGCAGAUAGGAACACCUGGAUGAAGGCAACACCUGGAUUAAAAGGUGGCAUCACCUCUCUCCCCACUAUAACCCAGGAACAAAUUCAGCAGUGGGCACCGGGUGUAAAGAUACUACGGACCACUUGUAUCUGUGCUGAUAUGACAUGGAGUCAGAGGGGAUCCAUCAACCAUGGCUGGUUUGGAGCAGCAGUGUGCUUGAGAGAUGAGUCCCACCCAAGCUGUCCCCAGUUCAAAGUAAAACAUCUGAAAUGCCUAUCCUGCAGUUUUGGGGCACCAACUGCUUUGAUCUAUUGAUUUUCUUGACUUCUUGUUAUGUAGACAGGAAAAAAAAGUGGCUUGAAUAAACCUUAUCUCAAGGACUGAUCCAGGUUUGUAAUCCCACAGUGCCUAUAGCCUAGAAAACAAGGAAGCCUCACAUAAAAUUCAGGACUCCCUAUGCACCCAGCCUCCUUCACUUCUGAAUAACCAAGUGUUCAAAAUAAAUAAGCGGCAUGGCUUCAAGUCCCAGGUUUUGCAGGGCUGCAUGAGACAACCAUCUCUCUCUUCAGAAGCAACUGAGUUAAAAAGAAUUUGCAGUACUGUGUUCAGUUUUGGGCCCCUCACUACAAGAAGGACAUCAAGGUGCUGGAGCAUGUCCAGAGAAGGGCAACGAAGUUGGUGAAGGGUCUAGAGAAUAAGUCUUAUGAGGAGCGGCUGAGGGAGCUGGGGUUGUUUAGUCUGGAGAAGAGGAGGCUGAGGGGAGACCUUCUCGCUCUCUACAACUACCUGAAAGGAGGUGGUAGUGAGGCGGGGGUCGGUCUCUUCUCCCUAGUAACAAGCAAUAGGACGAGAGGAAAUGGCCUCAAGCUGCAGCAGGGGAAGUUUAGGUUGGAUAUUAGGGAAAACUUCUUCACCAAAAGGGUUGUCAGGCAUCGGAACAGGCUGCCCAGGGAGGUGGUGGAGUCUCAAUCCCUGGAGGUAUUUAAAAGAAGGGUAGACGCGGUGCUUGAGGAUAUGGUUUAUUGGUGACCUUGGCAGUGAUAGGUUGGUGGUUGGACUCGAUGAUCUUAAGGGUCUUUUCCAACCUUAACAAUUCUGUGAUUCUAUGAUUUGCAGCAAAACAUGUCAGAUAAAGCUGUGAUCCAAUGAGACUUUAAAUCUGAAAGCAGAUAUCUCAGAGUAUGUAGGUAAGCAGAAAAAAGCACUGCUUUGAAAUGUCUAAUAUCCAUAUUGCUGCAACCCUCACAAGUGCUUCAGAGAUAAGAUGAACCACCAGUUAAGAUCUCAAUGUUAGGUGGAAACCAAUUACACAGCUUUUACAGUAAAUAAGACAGUACACAACAGGGGCAGGAACAGACCUGUGUUAAUUGCCACCCCAUCCAGGUGCAUAUGAGAAGCACUGGAAUUGUUUUGGCAAUUUCCUACCAAUGAAGUCUGCCAUUGGCUGAUGAGGAGCAGAGAUUGGAGAGCAGUCCUGUCCUCCACAGGAGCAGAGAAAUGGCAUCCACUGUCACUCUGACUUAUUGCUCCUUUGCCUUCUUCAAAAAAGUCUUUUUGCCCUUCUGCUGUGCUCUAUCUAUGCUGCUCUGUUGAGGGUCACAAAUACUGAAAAUAUUGAAUUAAAGGAAAGACGUACCCGGGUCUCAUUCAUUUUUGUCAUAGGUCUUUCAGUAUUUCUGGCAAGGAGGUUUUUCUGGGCACUGGCCACAUCAGGGCCAAUAUCGAGGAAGCUGGCAGAGUUUGUGGUCUGCACACUCUUGCCUUCAGGAUUUGUUUCUUCCCACCCACCCAAUCCACAGACUGAGACGACCCUGAGAGGAGAAGAGCGACGGCAGAAUUGCAUCCCUAGUAUCGUGACAAUCACUUCAUAAAUAAACAAUCUAAAACAAGCUUAGCAGGAACAAUUCACAAUAUUAAAGGAAUGGAUACAAAUUGCAUAUAUCUGAAGUUAUACCUGCCCAUUGUGCAAACCAAAUCCUCUGUCUUUUAUGCAGCCACUGGUGAAACCAUUCCUUUUCAACAGGAUCAUCACUGGCCUCGAUAAGGCAUUUGACAUGCACAUGAUGAGGUGUCUGAGCACAUGACAAGGUGUUUGACCAGACCAAGCCCCUUGCGCUCAGCAUACCACAAGAAAGAAACUGGGAGAAAAAUAAAGACAUUAAAAGCCAGUUCUCUAUUUUUCAAAACACUAAUUCAGUGCAUCAAGUCUAUUUCUCUUCUCUUCACAGGGAUUGUUUAGGCUUUACUUCAGUGUAACAAGAAUUACUGAAACACUCUUUAUCUAGAGAAUAACUUGCCCAACUUAAAACCAUUCUGUGUGCUGAUUACUGUUAGAGAAAACAUAAAAUGGAAAAAAAUAAUGAAUGCACAUUUAAAUCAACCCUGGACAGCUUUCAGUUAUAUAGUUUUAUUUAUGUGAGAGAUCACCAGAACAAUUUCCAGUCUGAGCAAGCCCUUCAGAUGUGACUCAACAGCUACUCACAUAGAUUUAUAUGUUCAUACACAUUUAUCAUCAGCUAAUAUCUGCCAUUUCCUUGGUGUGCUAAUCCAUAUACAUGAAAAAAAUUAUUUUUAAAAUGCUAUUUUAUCAGCAAGUUUUGAUGUUAGGGUGAUCUUUUAUUUUUAAUUUAUUAUUUCUCAUAUUCUUACAUGUGUUGUCAGUCAUAAUUUACAAUAUAAGGUAAAGGAAUAAUAUCUCAAGUUUGGAAAUUUGAGCGUAGGAAGAGAGAAACAUUUUUUCUUUUUUUCUUUACUUUCAGCUAUGCAUUUGCCUAAUAAGCCCCAAGACUGCUCUGAGGUGUUUUUGUAGGGCCCACCACAAAGCCUGCUGAAGCUGGCAGAAAGAGUCUAAUUCCCUCAGUUUCCAUGUAGCUGCGUGCAGGGCUCAGGAGGUACCAGCCAGGGAAGCCGUUGCAUCUCCCCUCUGUGCUCCCACCUUUCCUGUGCUUUGCCAAUCAAUGCAGGUGGGGGGAGGAAAAUUGCUCUCUUUUAUUGUCCUGGGGAAACACAGAAGACAGCUACAGUCAGCCCCUCUGUACUUCAGGAUGAAUAUGGAAACAGGCAUCUUUUCACCACAAAUUCCAGACAUUUUCCUUUUUAAUAAACGGAGAACUACUGCAGUAAGAGGACAGCUCUUUCUUAUCUCCCUUCCCCCCUCCCCCGCCUUUCCCUCCUCCCAACAAAGCAAGAGACAAAAGAAAGUCUCCCCCUCUGUCCCUUCAUUACCCAUUUGCUCCUGUGAAUGUCUAAUAAACUGAUUAUUGCAAUGUUCUUUGUAAAGAUGUGCUGCAACACUCCACCACAAAAGACUGA